rnacentral:rRNA from 1 species
GAUGAACGCUGGCGGCGUGCUUAACACAUGCAAGUCGAACGGGAAACCUUUUAUUGAAGCUUCGGCAGAUUUAGCUGGUUUCUAGUGGCGGACGGGUGAGUAACGCGUGGGUAACCUGCCCUAUACAGGGGGAUAACAACCAGAAAUGGUUGCUAAUACCGCAUAAGCGCACAGGGCCGCAUGGUCCGGUGUGGAAAACUCCGGUGGUAUAGGAUGGACCCGCGUUGGAUUAGCCAGUUGGCAGGGUAACGGCCUACCAAAGCGACGAUCCAUAGCCGGCAUGAGAGGGUGAACGGCCACAUUGGGACUGAGACACGGCCCAGACUCCUACGGGAGGCAGCAGUGGGGAAUAUUGCACAAUGGGGGAAACCCUGAUGCAGCGACGCCGCGUGAAGGAAGAAGUAUCUCGGUAUGUAAACUUCUAUAAGCAGGGAAGAUAGUGACGGUACCUGACGAAGAAGCCCCGGCUAACUACGUG